rnacentral:rRNA from 1 species
UACGUAGGGGCUAGCGUUGUCCGGAAUCAUUGGCGUAAAGAGCGUGUAGGCGGCCGGUAAGUCCGCUGUGAAAGUCGGGGCUCAACCCUCGAAUGCCGGUGGAUACUGUCGGCUAGAGUGCGGAAGAGGCGAGUGGAAUUCUGGUGUAGCGGUGAAAUGCGUAGAUAUCCGGAAGGAACACCGGUGGCGAAGGCGGUCUGCUGGCCGUUGCUGACGCUGAGGCGCGACAGCG